rnacentral:rRNA from 1 species
GGCUGAAAUUCGCCUUCAUGAAGCUGGAAUUGCUAGUAAUGGCAGGUCAGCAUACUGCCGUGAAUACGUUCCCGGGCCUUGUACACACCGCCCGUCACACCAUGAGAGUUGGAAAUACCCGAAGCCUGUGAGCUAACUGUAAAGAGGCAGCAGUCGAAGGUAGAGCCAAUGAUUGGGGUGAAGUCGUAACAAGGUAAC